CAUUGUUCUGCAUGCCCCAGGCCAGAGCUGGCUGCACAACGCCGACAUCUGCGCUCGCUCUGUGCGUUCCUCAUACCACGGGGGGAUGGAAACAUCUGGGGGAAGGAUGGAGCGAGCCCUGCAGAAGGAGGAAGGUGAUGUGGAACAGAUGCCGGGAGCCGGCAGAGCCUUUGGAAGGGCUGCGUGCGUGCACGCAUGUGUGCAAGAGCUUCGUGGCUUCUGCUGGGAGAAGGGAGCUGCCCCGCUGCCUGCCACCCAGGGAGCGAGCCGCCCCACUGCGACAGGAGCUGGGCUGCCGUGCCAGGAGGUCACACGUUUCUCAAAGCUGCCGGAAGGCGGACAGCUUUGCAGCCAAGCAGAUGCUGCGUGCGCGGUGCUCACCCGCCCCGGGGAGCUGCGGGAGGGCCCCUCGCAGCCACGCAACCGGCACAGCGCGUGCUUUGGGACACCAAACAGCAAAGCCACAGAGCCUCAGCGUGUUGGGGUUGUGCGUUCAGAGGGAACCUGCACCUUCUGGACUCACCAAACGGCAGCCAAACCUGCGAGCCGAGCGCGGCAGCCCGCCAGCCCCUUGGAUUUGCUCUGUUACAAAUUACACACAGCCCGGGCAGGCAGGGCCUCUGCUCUUUGAAAACCUAUCCCUCGGUGUUUAUUAUAGAAACCAGUUGCCCUAUCUGUUGACAGCCAAAUUGCAAAAGGCCCCGCUGGAACCGCCGCCCCCCGUGCUCCCCUUCUGCCUGGGAUGCCUUUAUCUCAAUGGGCUUUGAGGUGCUGUGCUCGGGGACAGGGCUGCACAGCCACCCCCCGGUGCCACCGAGCACUCUCAGCGUGGAGAAAGCUCACCUGAAUGAUUGCAGUGCCACAAAGAGGACAGAAGGUAAUAAUUAAAUCAGAGAGGCGAUGCGAGGUCCUUUCAUACCCCAGCACGUUUUUCUGUGCCUCCAGGAGCUCCCAUAGGAGGUGGAGGGUUCUGAACUGAGGGUUGUCUCAGGAAAGGUUUCCUUAAAGCACAGCACUGAGCUGCAUGGGUUUGCUGGAGGGAAUGCAGUGUGCCAUGCACUGCAGUGUGCCAUGCAUUACCAUGCGCCAUGCAUUGCUGUGUGUCAUGCACUGCUGUGUGCCAUGCAUUACCAUGUGCCAUGCAUUGCUGUGUGCCAUGCACUGCUGUGUGCCAUGCACCGCCGUGUGCCAUGCAUUGCUAUGUGCCAUGCAUUGCUGUGUGCCAUGCAUUGCCAUGUGCCAUGCAUUGCCGUGCACCGGAGCAAGCCAUGAACCCUGCUUAUCGCUGUGCUGGGCGAGCGGGUCUGUUCCCAGCUCCUGCAGGUGAGUCACUUCCCCUCUAUCUCCUGCAUUUCCCAUGGGUAAAAACGGGCUUGAUAAGCACAGGUGUGUUUGAGGGAUUUAACCCCAGCGUGGCUGCACAGUGCCCUGGGGGCCGGGCUGGGUUCCUCCUCUCUUUUGUCUUCCAGGAUUUCCCUAAGGGGCACAGAACCAGAAUGGCACUGCUGGCUGCGCGGGUCUGCAGUUUGCUUCCUUGCAGCACAGCCCAAGAGCAGAGCAGAGAGCCCCCCAGCAUCCCCAGCACUGCACCCCAUGGGAUACCAGCACACCGCAUCCCCCCCACACCCCCUGCACUGCACUGCCCACCCAGGGACCCUCAGCAAGGGGGGGGGGUUGCAGCCUGGACCGGGCACCAGCAUUUCUUCCCUCUUUUUUUAUUCCACUUUACUUUAUUAUUUUAUUUUUUUGGAGGCUUCGCCGGUGUCUGCCUGCUGACUGAAGCUGUCAUUAUCAGCUCAAUAAAUCUCUGGCGCGGGUUUUAUUGAAUCGCUGCCUGAGGGGGAACAAGCCUGUAAAGGUUGAGGAGAGCAGAGCUUUCCCACGCCUGAGACACGCUGCCGGAGCUCUUGCACACAUUCCGGGCCUGCCAGCACUCCGCAAAUGUUUGGACAGCCUUGAACAAAUAACACACCUUUAAAGAGGCCAGCAUGAAAUUCUUCCUCACCCCUCGGCCGCCCUCCCGCUGCCUCGUGCCCCCCCCCCAGCACCCCGCAGUGCUCCAUGUGUGUGUGCGCGCGGGGUUUAUUUUAGGCUCGUGGCCGUGCUCCAGUUUCGGGGAGGAGGAUGGAGGAUGGGGAUGGGAGGAGGUCUGGCUUUUCCUCCCACAGGUAGGAACCGGCUCCAGGCUGUGAUUUGGGGGAUGCCAAUGCUUUUUUUAUCUGUAUUCUCUCUGUUGCAUCUCAUGCUCUGCUCCGUGCCCCGUGGCACAGCGCAGGGGAUGGAGCCAGGAUUCGCCCCAGCGUGGCGGUGGGGCCGAGGGGAGCCUCAGCAAGGAUUAAUGGAGCAGCCAGCUGCCUGCCUGCUGAGUUCUGGGAAUGUCAAACACUGCAGCCAUCUCAACAGCUCCUAAAAUUCCCCCUGACUCGUUUCCUGUUGCUGCUUUCCCGAUGCUGAAAGGCUCGGGCUCCCGUGGAUUAAAAAAAAAAUAAGAGAAUUGGAGGGGUUCCAGAAUUUAGGUUUCUGCCUCCUCCAUCUUCCCUGUCAACGCGUCGUUAAAUAAGAAGCAGGAACGCUGUAUUCGCCGUGCGCUCCUCACCAAAGGGCUGAGCGAAAAUCCUGCUGGAUGCAGCAGGUGACAGUCGGGUUCCCUGCUCCCAGGGUCUGUCCCCGUGUGCCAUACCCGAGCAGAGGGCGGGAGGAGCUGCACAGACCAUGACUUGGCUCCCUUUGGGGAAGCAGAGGCACACCUGAGGCGGGGAUGCUGCAAGGGGCAGGCAGCAAGCUGCUGCACGCACCCACUGACAACCAGCCGCACCUCGGGCGAGGUCAACAGUGAACGUAGGAUGGGAAGAGCGAAGGUUGAGCAGCACGGCGCAGGGCUGGGUGCAAGGUCCAUUGCCAGCAUGCUCAUAAAGUGUGGAUAAGGGAGUGGUUUCCAGCUGAGAAAACCUCUCACGUUGGUUUAGAGGCCACCCAGGUGUCCCCAGGUUGGAGGGGGCCAUGUGUCACCCGAGGCACGCAGCAAGGAGGAGGCUCUGCUGUGCUUUGGUUCUGCAUUGGAAAGGCUUUGCAGACGCAUUGCUGGGAUGGGGUGGGUGGUCAAUGCUUCCUUCCUCGUGACCACACCCGCACGGAUUUGAGUCACUGUGGGAUGAUGCCAAGCAGAGGUUGGGCUGUGCUCUUCUCUCCCAAAAGCCCUUGGGGGGGUUGGGUGCAUCCCAGGAACCACAGCGGGGUUUGGAGCGUCCCACCACUUGCUGUGGCUUGGCUGGUUUGGCCAAGGUCUCAGCCCGGCUUGCUGGUGCAGCUGCCCCCUAAAAAAAGCACGGGAACCACCAGUUUGCAGCAGGAGGCAGAUCAAACCUCCUGUUUGCUUUCAAGCCUUCAAUUGUCCGUUAGCAAAGUGCACACCACAGAAUGGGUGGCCCCUUUCCUGGAGAAGCUGUGAAAACCUGCUCGGUUCCUGUGCUAGGAAAGCAAACAAACAAACACGACCCGGCGCUGGGUUUCAGCACACCAGAGCAUCUGGAAGCAAACCCCGAGCCCCUGCCUUGCUGAUAAGAGCCAGCUCCAUUGCCCACCGAUGGGAGAACCUGGGGAUGUAAUUAGAGAUGCGAAGCGCUCGAAACAAAGGGCGAAAAGCAAUCAGCGAAAGGUUUCAAUGGAGAUUUUGGAGCUCUCGGAAGCUUUCAUACUGGGGAGCUGGGACACCGAUUUUAGCAAUAAGGAUAAUUCUGCGCAGCGUUUGAAGUGGAAAUGCAUGCAGAUUUGAAGCAUGUAUGCUCCCAGCAAUGUUCUGGAAAGCCUUGAUUGUUAGAACAACUUAAUAAAGCAAAAAGAAAGCCGUGACUCUCCCCCACACCCCGCCUGCUCUCUCUCCUGGCUCAGCCCUCAAUCUGCUGCAGAUUUCCACCUCAUCUGCCAGCACCACCUUCAAGACAGGGAGUUCCCUGGAGCUUAAAGACAAAAGGGUUUGCAAUCAAAGUCUUGGAAUAGGAAGAAAAAAAAAUAAAGGAAAGGAAGAAAAGGCUGCAAAAAGUUUUUCUUUCUUUAUUUUUUUUUUCCAUGCGCACCCGUGCUCUGUGGGUAUGUUGGAAGAGGAGGGGGAGAGCUGUGAAGAAAGCAGGGCAACAACCAUGGCCAACAGACCCAUGAGGACAUGUGAGUGCUGGCUGCCCAUCUCCCUGAGCUCAUUUCGUGGUCCUACGGCGGGAAGAAGACAAGAGGGUUCCAUACCACGGGACAUGACUUUGCCUUCCAACCAUUGGGUGAUGCCAACGUCCCCUUGGAGGUCAGUUCGGACGAGGUGCCAAGAGCACAGACACACUCUGGAAAUCUCAUUCCACACACCCACCCCUCCUCCCUCCUCGUUAUCCUUUAACUUCCCAAGGCGACCCGUCCCCCUGUUUGCUUGUGGCUGCCACCGCGCCGCAUCGCUCGGCCCUGAGGUCACUGGGGAUUGACACCUUCACCCAAAGCCCCGGAUUCCACCCUGCCCUCCUUAGAGAUGCACCAGGCUGUCAGUAACGAGGCCACAGGUUUAUUCAGUGGAGAUCCCCAGAUCUCAAAAGAUAAUCUGGGAAUAAUUGGGACUUAAGGAACUUGUGUGAAUCUGAUUUUUCUGCGGCGCUGCCAUUCACGAAACAGAUGGACAUCUUAUUUCUCCCUAAUUUGAUGGGCUUUCUUGACAAAAUGGCAGAGGUUGCACUUUGCUACAAUAAUAACCUGCCACUCAGACUUUGUAAGGGGUUUGUGUAGAUUUCUUCUUAAUUAGACCGUGUCUCGCUAUCGGCGAGCUGCGUGCGUGUGUGCAGAGCAGGGAGAUGGGGAGCAGCUCCUCUGCAUGACAGAGCCUGCAAAAGAGUGGGGAGGAAUCAGGGGGCUUUCAUGUUUGUGUCACUGGCUGCUUUUUGUUGUUUUUUUUUUUUUUUUUUAAGUCUCAUUUGGAAAAUAAAGAUUGGGAUGUGAGCUCAUUGUCUGGAUGAUAAUGUAUUCAUGGAUUUGCUCCCUCUCGCCCUGCAACCGAACAACAGUGCUGGGGCAGCUUCCAGGUUGGGGAGCAAGCCUGAAGGCACUGCAAACCCUUGGGAUUACUCUCAGGUUUGCAAAAACCACUUUUCACUUGCAAAAGAUUCCCAGUGCUGCCAUUUAACCCCCGACCUCCUAUUCUGCCUCCCUUUCUCUCCCAGCCCCUAGCAAAGUGGAUCCUUUGGUCAAAGCAUGGAACUGGGUCUACUCCAGCACCCCACUGUCAGCCAGCAGCACGCUUUCCUUGCUAUCCACUGUGCAAGGAAAAAGCAAUUGGGAACUUUUUGAUUACUCAGAUCCUUAAUUGAGCUCUGAUGUCUGGUUACGGUACCAAACAAAACUCAUCCACAAAUAGAAAUUGUUGGGUUGAGUGUUAUUUUUGCUCAUCUCGCUUUUGUGCCUUUAGAGAUAGGGCCCUUAGCUCAGCUCCGGAUGACAUUGUCCAGGUUUGGGACAAAAUCCUUCUUCUCCCUGUUGGUGGAUCACAUUGUUCUUCUUCUCAUUGGGAUCAGCCUAGUCUGGUGGUUGGUGACCCUGCACAUAGCAGAGGGGUUGAAACGAGGUGAUCAUUAUGGACCUUUUCAACCCAGGCCAUUCUAUGAUAUGAUUAUAUGAUUCUCCCUAUUGGGAUCACAUCCUUCUUCUCCCUGUUGGGAUCAUAGCCUUCUUCUUCUUCCCAUUGGGAUCACAUCUUUCUUCUCCCCCUUGGUGCAUCCAUGCGGCAGAUCACACACACCAUGUUGGGAGCUCUGGUCAUCACUUGUGGCUUUUAUAGCUGCAUGGCUCACAUGCUCCUUUCCCACAGGAGUUCCUUGCCACAGCAGUAGGUGAUGGAUUAAAUCCCAUAAAGCCAAGCUGAGUCACCACAUCUUCAGCUUUCCCUUCACGGUCCUAUCCAGCAGCUCUCAGCUAUGCAGUGCCAUCAUUAGGAUGUAUUUCUUGGUGAUGAGGCUGCCUGGGGUAGGCAGGCUCCUCAGGGCAGUGUCCUACUAGAGUUCAAGAAGCAUUUGGACAACACUUUCAGAUUCUUGGGUGGUGCUGUGUGGGGCCAGCAUUGGACUCAAUGAUCUGCGUGGGUCCCUUCCAACUUGGGAUGCUCUAUGAGACAGGGCACUGAGCAGUCCCUCUGCCUCUCCUCCAGACCACUCAAUUCACCCCAUUUGGUGCCCACUCCCCCUAAAACCCCAAACCAACACCCCUCCCUCCAUGCAGAACGCUGCUCUAAAAACCAAC
ensembl:lncRNA